GUCGAGCGGUACAUUUCAAAGCUUGCUUUGAAGAUGACGAGCGGCGGACGGGUGAGUAAUGCUUGGGAAUAUGCCUUAUGGUGGGGGACAACAGUUGGAAACGACUGCUAAUACCGCAUAAUGUCUACGGACCAAAGGGGGGGAUCUUCGGACCUCUCGCCAUUUGAUUAGCCCAAGUGAGAUUAGCUAGUUGGUGAGGUAAUGGCUCACCAAGGCGACGAUCUCUAGCUGGUUUGAGAGGAUGAUCAGCCACACUGGGACUGAGACACGGCCCAGACUCCUACGGGAGGCAGCAGUGGGGAAUAUUGCACAAUGGGCGCAAGCCUGAUGCAGCCAUGCCGCGUGUGUGAAGAAGGCCUUCGGGUUGUAAAGCACUUUCAGUAAGGAGGAAAGGGAUGUAGUUAAUAGCUGCAUUCUGUGACGUUACUUACAGAAGAAGCACCGGCUAACUUCGUGCCAGCAGCCGCGGUAAUACGAGGGGUGCAAGCGUUAAUCGGAAUUACUGGGCGUAAAGCGUUCGUAGGCGGUUGAUUAAGCAAGAUGUGAAAGCCCAGGGCUCAACCUUGGAACUGCAUUUUGAACUGGUCAACUAGAGUACUGUAGAGGGUGGUGGAAUUUCC
rnacentral:rRNA from 1 species